rnacentral:rRNA from 1 species
AUUGAACGCUGGCGGCAGGCCUAACACAUGCAAGUCGAGCGAGCGGCGGACGGGUGAGUAAUGUAUGGGGACCUACCGGAUAGAGGGGGAUAACUACUGGAAACGGUAGCUAAUACCGCAUACUAUUGGAUGGACCCAUAUGGGAUUAGCUAGUAGGUGGGGUAAAGGCUCACCUAGGCGACGAUCUCUAGCUGGUCUGAGAGGAUGAUCAGACACACUGGGACUGAGACACGGCCCAGACUCCUACGCGAGGCAGCAGUGGGGAAUAUUGCACAAUGGGCGCAAGCCUGAUGCAGCCAUGCCGCGUGUAUGAAGAAGGCCUUAGGGUUGGAAAGUACUUUCGGCAGGGAGGCGUUACCCGCAGAAGAAGCACCGGCUAACUCCGUGCCAGCAGCCGCGGUAAUUC